CGUCACUCGCGUCUGGGUACCGGUUCCCCGCUGUCCUGCGCCUGGCGGGCUGGCAUUGGGCCCAAGGAAAGCGGAGCAGGUCUGCUGGUAUAAGUGUCAAGUGUCGCGGCGGCGCCCUCACGGCGAGAAUCGGGAGAAGGAGACAGCAAGGAUAGGCCCAGAAAAACAACCAG